GACGAACGCUGGCGGCGUGCUUAACACAUGCAAGUCGAGCGGUAAGGCCCUUUCGGGGGGUACACGAGCGGCGAACGGGUGAGUAACACGUGGGUGACCUGCCCUCAGCUCUGGGAUAAGCCUGGGAAACCGGGUCUAAUACUGGAUAUGACUCCAUGACGCAUGUUGUGGGGUGGAAAGCCUUGUGCGGCUGAGGAUGGGCCCGCGGCCUAUCAGCUUGUUGGUGGGGUGAUGGCCUACCAAGGCGACGACGGGUAGCCGGCCUGAGAGGGCGACCGGCCACACUGGGACUGAGACACGGCCCAGACUCCUACGGGAGGCAGCAGUGGGGAAUCUUGCGCAAUGGGCGAAAGCCUGACGCAGCGACGCCGCGUGAGGGAUGACGGCCUCGGUU
rnacentral:rRNA from 1 species